CUGGUGCUGCACCACCCUCCCGACGUCCGCCCCACGAGCUGCUGCGCAGCGGUGUGCGAACGCUGACACAGAUGCAUAGUUUUGCUAUCAGAUGACACCUAGGCUAGCAGAUGAAUGAAUGCUAAAGGAUUACGGAAGUCAUGCAGGUGACAGGCUGCUCGGCGUCCAUGGGGCUUGCUACCAAUCCACAUGCAUCAGGAAAGCCAUUUGCUGCAUUAGAACAUGUUGUUAACGUUUCAGAUAUUUAUGUGAUGCAUGAGUAGCUGUGAGAUUCUGAAUGUUCAUGUGAUAGGUUCUAUUGUUGUUGACAGUCUACAGAUUUGUCUUUCUUUCUCUAAUCACUCAUUUUAACGGUUGUCCUGUUUAAAUUGUUGAUUAUUCCUUUGACGAAGGUAUCUGUGACCUGUUCGCUCAAUCUUGAACUUUCAGUGGUUCUGCAUUUAUGACUAAUGUCUUACCAAAUUGUUAUGACCUGUUAGUAUGCUGAUGUUUUGUGCCAUUAUAACUGAAAAUACUCUUUAGUGGCUUCAGGCCAAGGUUAUUGAUUCCAUAGUGGAGAUUAGUUUUUUUGACACUGUCACACUGGCCGUGCAGCACACAUUUAACUGAACAAUCAUGGCUCUGCCUGAUUUAAUAAUAGUGUACGACAAUUUUUAUAUCCAAUAACUGUUAGGUUCUGCUUAAAAAUUUUCCUGGUUUUGAUGAAGUUAUGUGCGAUCUAAGAGAAGAGUUUACAAUAGUUAGUACUUAGUAGUUACUAAUUAAUUAGCUAAUCAUAUAAACGAUUAAUAAACACACCUUUGCUCUCUACCAGCACAAGUGUUGAGGAUCUUUGUUUAUGAAUUUUUUUGCAGAUUUCAUAUCCCCCUUUCGAAUCACUAGUGGCACUAUAAUAAAAUACUUCUUUGUCAAUCAGGAUGCCUGUUUAUGGAUAUGAAAUCAGCAUCCCUGAUGCAGUCAGUUGGCCCCUCUGUAGGGUGUUGGGAUUGAUUCUGCUGUGGAUGCCCAUGUUUUACCAACAAGCUGGUAGCGAUGAGCUGAUGCAUGACAAUGUGCAGCGAUGCAGGAUCAAGCUCCCAGCAGAGAGGGCAAAGUGUGGCAGCCCCUCCUUUCAGAUCCGUUUCCCUUGCACACUGAAGAUGCUGCCGGGGACGGGAAGACUCGCACGUGACCACGGCGUCAGCGGCGGCGGCGGCGAACAUCGGCUGUCUCGACGGCCGCAGUCGUGGACGUGGAGGAUGCGCCGGAUCGUCGAUGGAUGGGGACGGCGGCGUGGGCUCGGUGGCAGGCGAGUCUCGGUGUGGUCCACAGCUCGUCCUCGACUAGCUUGCUGCGUUGAAGAGCGGCGGCGAGUUCGUCCUUGGUAGCGGCAGCUUCCUAUCCCUUCCCUUUGCCAUGGAUUUCUUCAGAUUAAUGAGAGCUCUGAUUCUUCCCCCAGCGCAAGGAUGUUUCCUGGUCAGAGGUUGGUCCAUACGAAGGCUACCAAUCCAAGUAUGGAGGUCUUUUGGUGCACGUAGAACGUGUUUGAGGUUCUCCUCAGACUAGAACAGAAAGCGCCGCGUGGUGAUGCCGCACCAGUGCUGGCUCAUGGUCUUGCUUCGACCUGUGACUCUUUGAGAGGGCCAAUGCUCUGUAACACAUCAAGGCAGAAGGGAGCAUGAGGCAAAGGCUCAAACAAGUCUCCACGGAUCGGAAGAGGAAUGUUUCUGACAAAGCUGUUGGUGAAUGGUGACUUCGUCGAUGGUCAUCUCUCCCGCGUGCCAAAGAAAUUGCAGUUCUUCCUUAUUCGAGAAAAAUUGCAGUUCUUCCCAAGGUUGAAUGAACAAUGAGCUGUUGCUACUGGUCUCAAGAAGAUAAGGGCAACAAUGUGCCUCUCUCCACUCGCUGACUAGCCACCUCAGAGAGGGAAGAUGUGCAGGCAAAAUAUCCGGUGGAAACCAGGUACUCGGUGGAAGCGUAGAAACCAAAUUUCAAUCCGUUAAAUACAAAACGUGCGGUCCAGAUGAGCUCUCGACCAGCCCAGCACAUUUUUGACGAACAGCCCCCCGCGCUCCACUCGAAGCAUUUCGCAGGAAACACCCUAUUCUAUGGACUAUAUGCGCAAAAGCCCUGCCGUGUCUUCUUCUCCACACCUCUCCCUGGUUCUGUUCUGUUGGCUUGUUCGCCCCCAAAACUCAAACCAUGUCGAGCUAGGGUUUUACAUGAGGCAACAGCUCCGCAGCAGCUCCAAUCCUCCACUCGAAAUACCCUUCAGUUGAAGAUUGUGGGUCAGCACGGGGACGACGGGUGGCCGGAGGGACUUGGGACAGCAACGGUGGCGACUCCGGCGGCGGCGGCGGCGACUCCGGCGGCGGCGGCGGCGACUCCGGCGGCGGCUUCAGUGCCACUAAGCUCACGAUUGAUGCCUCCCCAAUAUUGAUUUGCUACCAGGUUUGCUUCACGAGUGGCUUCAUCAUCCUAGGCUGCCUCCAAGUCAGGGCAUAAUUCAUGGUUGUCCAGCAUGCAUAUCAGUGCAUUUUUCUUUCAAGUUCUGCCACCAAUGCAGCACAUGGUACUGAUUGAGAUGAUGAAUCUGCCUUGCGUCAGCAUGUAGAUCCCAUAAGCACGACAAAUUUGACACUGGAAUUGAUAUGAUUGAAAGACAUAAGAUUUAUUCAUCAUAGUCUUACACGGCUGCUUAAUUUGGCCUUCUUAUAGUUGUUUAGUGUGUCUGUGGUUGAAAUUGAUGAUUUCUGCAAGUAGUAAAAUUUCAUUUAUGUGAUACAGUCAAAGGUUCAUGUAACUCAUAAAGAUGUGGUUGUCAAUCUAUAAACUUUGUAAUGAUCAAAUGCAAUGCGAUUUAAAAUUUAGCUGAGUAAUUAAUGUGCUUUUCAGAGCCGAUAUAUAUGCCCAUUUAUUGUAAUGGAAUCUUAUUGACAUGUGACAAUAGCAAUACAAUUGAACUGAGAUGAAUUGCUAGUAUAAGUUUA